UACGUAGGGGGCAAGCGUUGUCCGGAAUCAUUGGGCGUAAAGCGCGUGUAGGCGGCUGGCUAAGUCCGCUCUGAAAGCCCGGGGCUCAACCCCGGGAGGCGGGUGGAUACUGGUCAGCUCGAGUCCGGAAGAGGAGUGUGGAAUUCCUGGUGUAGCGGUGAAAUGCGCAGAUAUCAGGAGGAACACCAAUGGCGAAGGCAGCCCCCCUGGGCCAAUACUGACGCUCAUGCACGAAAGCGUGGGGAGCAAACAGG
rnacentral:rRNA from 1 species